GACGAACGCUGGCGGCGUGCUUAACACAUGCAAGUCGAACGAAGUGGCGAACGGGUGAGUAACGCGUAAUCAACCUGCCCUUCAGAGGGGGACAACAGUUGGAAACGACUGCUAAUACCGCAUACUGAAGGAGGGGAUUGCGUCUGAUUAGCUAGUUGGGGGGGUAACGGCCCACCAGGGCGAUGAUCAGUAGCUGGUCUGAGGGGAUGAACGGCCAAAUUGGGACUGGAACACGGCCCGAACUCCUAGGGGGGGCAGCAGUGGGGAAUCUUCCGCAAUGGACGAAAGUCUGACGGGGCAACGCCGGGUGAGUGAUGACGGCCUUCGGGUUGUAAAGCUCUGUUAAUCGGGACGCGGUACCGGAAUAGAGAGCCACGGCUAACUACGUGCCAGCAGCCGCGGAAUU
rnacentral:rRNA from 1 species